GGAUCUACUCUUGCCGCUUUCUUUGGGAUAAUUGUAAGUAUCACUGCUUGCUUUGUUCUUUUCAAAAAGAGGACACGCGAUUCCAGAAAGUCGGGAGAUUUGUUUGGAUCUCGAACCAAUCUUACCUGGAAUGCUAACUUGGUUCACUUACAAUGAAUUAAAAUAAUAACAGAAGAUUUCAGCAGAAAGCUGGGGGAAGGAGGAUUUUGAUGCUCUAUAUGAAGGAACAAUGAGUAAUGGCAUUAAAAUAGCUGUAAAGAGUCUAGAUGGUCUAGGUCAUGUGAUAACAGUCAUUCCUAACAGAAGUAAAGAUAGUCUGUGGCAUUCACCAUGUCAACCUGGUAAAACUCAUUGGAUUUGUGCUGAAAAAAAAAAACAAAGGCUUUUGAUCUAUGAACACAUGGUAAAUGGAUCACUAGAUAAGUGGAUUUAUAAUAAGAAUCAAGAAAAUGGGCUUACAUGGCAUACAAGGCGAAGGAUAAUAACAGAUAUUGCCAAAGGAUUAGCUUAUCUUCAUGACGAAUGCAGCCAGAAGAUAAUUCAUUUGGAUAUCAAACCACAACAUCCUGCUAGAUCAAAAUUUCAAUGAUAAGAUAUCUGAUUUUUGGGAUGUCAAAGCUAAUUGAAACAGACAAAAGAAAAAUUGAACUAGAAUGAGAGGGACAAGAGGAUAUUUAGCCCCUGAAUGGCUGAACUCAGUAAUCACUGAGAAAGUGUACGUGUAUGCAUUUGGUAUUAUGCUCUUGGAAGUUCUCUGUGCGCGGAAAAAUUUAGACUUAUGAAGAUGUCCAUUUGCUAACUGUUUUUGAAAGAAAAGCGGAUCAACAACAACUCAUGGAUAUGGUUGACAAAAACAAUAAGGAAAUGCAGAUGCACAAAGAAGUAGUGACAGAAAUGAUGAGCAUUGAUGCGUGGUGUCUACAGGGCGAUUUCACCAAGAGGACUUCCAUGUCAUUUGUGGUUAAAGCAUUGGAAGGUUUGGUGUCUGUUGAAACCAACUUGUAUUACGAUUUCACUAGACUACCUGAGGUUCAAGCUGGCAACCAACAGAGCGAAGCCACUGACAGUUCAAUAUUGCCUUCAGUAUUACAUCGAGUCUAAUCCACCUAAGUUUUACUAUGCUUCAAGUUCUCCGGAUAGUAUACAUUUCAGUUUUGAUAGUCAAACACUUACCGCUCUGCAAGAAUCUCCUACAUCACCAGCUCAAUUCAUAAAGCUUCAGCUUGAUGGGCAUUUACGGGUAUACCAAUGGGAUGAGAAAGUACUUAGAUUGGAAGUCAUAUCUGAUCUUUCCCUUUCAUAUGGAGGAAACUGUGGGUAUCCAACUGUCUGUGGAAGAGAUGGCAUUUGCACUGGUGACGGGCGAUGUAGUUUCCCGCCAGAGGAAAAUUUCUUCAUGCCAUCAGAUUAGAGGAAAAAGAAAAAAAAAAUGUAGGAUGUUCACAGGUGAUAUCCAUUAACUGCAACUCUUUGCAGAAUCAUAGUUUCAUAUAGCUCAGGAAUACCACAUAUUGGAGCACAGAGGGACAUUAUAGCUUCUUGUUUUGAGGUCGAAACAUGACAUGAGUUACAUCGAGAGCUCAAACCAUUAGGUACAAGCAAGACCUGAAUACAUAAGACAUAGAUAGAUGUCCGUUUAAAUCGAAGUAGGAGGAGCUUGCUUGAAUAGGAUUAGGAAAUGGUUUAUCAUAAUUCUUACUUGAAACUAGACACUACAAGAAACUUCGGAAACUGCUGCAAUCUAUCAUUUCCCCCUUUCAGAAACACUAAUCGUAAUUACUUCUAACUCCCAAAGUCAUCAACUUACAACUAACAUUUUCAUGGGCAUAGACACCCACACUUUUAAGCUCUUAAUACUCCAUCUUCAAUUUCUUAGAAUACUAUUAUUACUCCUUUAAUCACAUAACUUACAACUUAACAUAAGCUCUAAAACUAUAACAAGGCGCGCAUUGCCUACCUAUAUCUCCUCAAUUCAACUAUAAAGAACACCAUACAACAACUUUCCCGACUUCUCCAUAAUACAAGAUUCAAGAACAAAAUCUAGGCACACGUGACACCCGUACACAUCACCUUAUCUAACAACAUACUACCUCAGGGUUCAACUUAUUCUAAUAUACCCACGCUCUUAUCCACUUAAUGAUUCAACAACAAUUCAUCAUUAUAACACUAGUGUCAUGCAUAUAUACAUAUCACAAUUACCACUUAAACUUUUCAUAAAUCAUCAACUUAGGCUUUUUCACAAAUCACAUCAAGCCCACUAAUUCAUUCCCACAAAACAUACAUCAUUAAUCUUAAGUUACUAUUCUUACCAUCACAUUUUACAUCUAAAGUUCAAGCCUAUAGUCUAGCAUCAAUCAUCUACCGCCGAUGAAGCAUGUAACAUAAUAUACUAGUCCAUCAAAUUGGGAAAUCAAUCCAAAAUACUUCAUUUAAUUUAACUACGACCUACAAUCAUUUCCCCUCGAAAACAUUACUACUACACCUCAAAAUCUACUACAUACUUUCUCACAAGCAGUGCUCGUUUACAACUACUAGAGGAAAGACAAUCAAAGGGGUGAGGUCACAUAAUAAGGAUGGUCGAUCUCAAUCUUAUAAUACAACCCAUUUCAAUCUUAUCAACAUAUUCUAAUUUCUCACAUCAUAUUUACUUAGCCAUGUAUAUAUUCUCACUAUCACCAAAUUCUAGAAACACCAAUGAGUCUUUACCCAUAACUUAUUGACUAGUCUACCUUUUUCCAUUCACAACCUAUAAAUCAUUUCUAUAACCACCAUAACUAUCCACUUUGAGCUCCUUCUCUAUUUUCAAUAAAUAAUAAUCAUAUCCAGUCACUUCCUUCACAAACUACCAUACAAUCUACAAAUAUUGCCACACAUUAGUCUAUCACUAUAAAAUGGCAAACCAUCCUCCAAUCAAUGGUUAUACAACUAAAACUAUUUAUUUACACAAAAGUCACCCUCACUCUGACUUCUAGCCUUGUGACUUCAUAUCACCAACUUCUUGACCCAUUUACUACCAAUAGAUCAUGACACUUUUUUAAUUUCUACUACUCGGGUGGAAAUAUAGUUCCGACAUUCUGCUAAACAUCAUUAGCCUUAUGCAUGACAUCCACAACAAGAAUUUUGAAAGAAAACGGAAUAGACUUUGUAUCUUAGGAUGAAAAGCACGAUUUCAUAAGAAUAAAAGCAUACACUCAAAUCAAUACAACCUAAAGACUAAUGGACUCCUCCCAAGUCCUCAUGCUGUCUCAUAACUUUACGGAUGACUCAAUCAGAGAGAACCACAUUGUUGAGGAGCUAGACUCUUAGACUUGUAUCGCCUCGACAGUGAGGCAUGGCCCAUGAAAUUAGAACAAGGAAUGAAUUUAUAUAACUCUCUCAUGGAAAACUCUAUAGCAUGAACUAGAGUAUGAAAGAAUAAGAAACAACUCCUAAAUGCCCGGUAGCCUCCUGAUUAUAAGUGCGGUGCAUGACACACCCAUAAACAAGACUCUACUAGACACGAUUUCGCAGACACCAUGCGACUAUGAACCGUGCUAUGAUACCAAGUUUGUCACGACACGAGUUGGGGCCUUAGCCGCGACGAGCAUCCCGAACCAUGAAGGCCCGGGCGCCCCUUUCUAUCUGACAAUCGUGAACACCAUUCAUAUACAAUAAAGAAAAAUGUGGAAAACUAUUACAACGGAAUCAUGGUCAACUUUUAUUUCAAACUACUCAAUACUGAAAUAAGUUCGUAAAGAUCAACAUCUAACACUUGUCUGCGAAAUUUAUACAUAUAUAACAUAGGAGAGAGAAAGUCAUAAAAUAUUAUGCAUGAAAUAGUUUAAAAUACAUGGGCCUUUCAAAAGAUCUUAAAACAAUCUUGUCAAUGCGAUUUCAUUCUUCGUAUUACUUCUGAGCUAGAUGGUACACCCUACAUUUCUACAAUUCCACGGGCUAUAUGGAAUCCGCCCUUGACUAGGCGGCCAAGCCCCCAAUCCAAGUUUGCCGCAAGGAUUGGGGUGUCAGCAAGGGGGGAACACGCAAGAUCACAAAGCAGGGUAUCAUAAUUCCCAAUCAAGUCAACAUGUCAUGGUAGUGCACAAGAACACAAAGCAGGGUUCCUAACCAUAAAUCCCAAUUUAGGACGACAUGAAAGCAUAGAGUCUUUCAACUCAUACUUUCUUCGAGUAACCAUCUAACUCUCUUUAAGCCCAUUUUUAACCUUUUCUAAACAUGCAACUUUCUGAAUUCAAAAUCUAAAAAUCUGAGUGAAAUCUGAUUUCUAUUCAAUUCUGUGUUUGUCAUGGCAUUGUCUAUUUGGUAUCGUCAUAACAAGACUUGCAAGUUAUGUUUCUGAGCCAUAAAAUAUCAUAUCACAGUUUUCUCUUUCAAAACAUAAAGUUUAGACCACCAUACUUCAAAUAAUUCUAGAAGAUUCAUUUUUCCAAAAAUAUUUAUCAAAUUAUGCAAAGAUCAUUCUUUUCAAUCAUUUCAACAAACAUGUGGUGGUCAUGUAUUCUUGACAAACCAUACAAUUCUUUCAUUAUAUAUAUAUAUAUAUAUAUAUAUNNNNNNNNNNNNNNNNNNNNNNNNNNNNNNNNNNNNNNNNNNNNNNNNNNNNNNNNNNNNNNNNNNNNNNNNNNNNNNNNNNNNNNNNNNNNNNNNNNNNNNNNNNNNNCAAAUAAUCAUGUUCUAAAUUCAAUUAACAACUUAAACACAUACAUACAUAUAUAAGAUUACAAAUCAAUUUAGGGAAAAGGCCUCAAGACCAAAUCAAUAUCAUCAAAAACUUUAAAAGCAUAAAUCUAAUUAUAAAUCAAACAUCCCUUUUUCUAAAUUCAUGAUUUCUAAACCUUUAACAUGAUUAAGAAGAAUUUACCAUGCCCAUGUAGAUAUAGGAAAACCCCACGUACCUUAGAUAGUUUAGUUUGAAAGAUGGAACCCGGAUCUUGAUCCUUUUCUUGGAAUUCUUGAUCUUAGGGAUAGUUCUUAAUCUUUGGGAAAAGGAUUAGGGUUGGAUUUUUGAGAGGAAUUGAUUAGUUUGUGAUGUAUUUUGCCCAAAUACUGAUUUUAUGUCGUGUUGUGGCUGAGGUAAGACGAGGGAAAAGACGAAAAUACCCCUAAGGAAACAAAAAAGGUCGCAACAGUC
rnacentral:lncRNA from 1 species